rnacentral:rRNA from 1 species
UCCUACGGGAGGCAGCAGUAGGGAAUUUUCGGCAAUGGGGGAAACCCUGACCGAGCAACGCCGCGUGAAGGAAGAAGGUUUUCGGAUUGUAAACUUCUGUUAUAAAGGAAGAACGGCGGCUACAGGAAAUGGUAGCCGAGUGACGGUACUUUAUUAGAAAGCCACGGCUAACUACGUGCCAGCAGCCGCGGUAAUACGUAGGUGGCAAGCGUUAUCCGGAAUUAUUGGGCGUAAAGAGGGAGCAGGCGGCAGCAAGGGUCUGUGGUGAAAGCCUGAAGCUUAACUUCAGUAAGCCAUAGAAACCAGGCAGCUAGAGUGCAGGAGAGGAUCGUGGAAUUCCAUGUGUAGCGGUGAAAUGCGUAGAUAUAUGGAGGAACACCAGUGGCGAAGGCGACGAUCUGGCCUGCAACUGACGCUCAGUCCCGAAAGCGUGGGGAGCAAAUAGGAUUAGAUACCCUAGUAGUCCACGCCGUAAACGAUGAGUACUAAGUGUUGGAUGUCAAAGUUCAGUGCUGCAGUUAACGCAAUAAGUACUCCGCCUGAGUAGUACGUUCGCAAGAAUGAAACUCAAAGGAAUUGACGGGGGCCCGCACAAGCGGUGGAGCAUGUGGUUUAAUUCGAAGCAACGCGAAGAACCUUACCAGGUCUUGACAUACUCAUAAAGGCUCCAGAGAUGGAGAGAUAGCUAUAUGAGAUACAGGUGGUGCAUGGUUGUCGUCAGCUCGUGUCGUGAGAUGUUGGGUUAAGUCCCGCAACGAGCGCAACCCUUAUCGUUAGUUACCAUCAUUAAGUUGGGGACUCUAGCGAGACUGCCAGUGACAAGCUGGAGGAAGGCGGGGAUGACGUCAAAUCAUCAUGCCCCUUAUGACCUGGGCUACACACGUGCUACAAUGGAUGGUGCAGAGGGAAGCGAAGCCGCGAGGUGAAGCAAAACCCAUAAAACCAUUCUCAGUUCGGAUUGUAGUCUGCAACUCGACUACAUGAAGUUGGAAUCGCUAGUAAUCGCGAAUCAGCAUGUCGCGGUGAAUACGUUCUCGGGCCUUGUACACACCGCCCGUCACACCACGAGAGUUGAUAACACCCGAAGCCGGUGGCCUAACCGCAAGGAAGGAGCUGUCUAAGGUGGGAUUGAUGAUUGGGGUGAAGUCGUAACAAGGUAUCCCUACGGGAACGUGGGGAUG